AUCCAAUUAGACACACUUAUUGGAUGCCAUGUUUAUCUGAUAAUCAAAGUGGUGGUGUGGACAGAGAAGAUAUACAAUGUUUAGGUCAGAUUAGUCCUCACUUGCUACACUACCUCAGAACUGCCGUCAAAGUGAACCAGCACAGGACUCUCAGAUGACCUGCUACACAGCUUUGUUUUUAAAUUUACAAGGCAAAAGAACAUGGAGAACAAAGACAGCAGGAUGACAACAGAAUGGAACUCAACAAUGGAAAACAGAAAGCAAUCAGAUAGCAAACAAACAAGAACUGACAUGAAAACCCAAAAAGAAACUUUAAAAAGACAAAGGCAACUGAUAUGUCAAGCAAUGGAGGAGAUCGAACAACUCUGGAGACAGACAGAAAGAAAGACAAAUGAAAUUGACUUCUUAAAGACAAAGACAGAGGGGCAACAGGAAGACAUUGAGAGACUGACAUCUGAAAAAAAUAAACAUCACCUACUAUUAAAGCAAUUUAACUUCCAAAUAAAAAAUAUAACUGAGAAACUCAAACAAAGCAAAAAUUCAGUUGCUAAGGAAAAAACAAACUUUCUGAAAACGUGGACUAAAAUAUAUCAAGAAAAGGAUACUCUGGACAGAAGACGUCAAUACUUCAUCAACGAGCGACACAAGCUAGACACUAUAAAAGCUAGUAAGACAGAAUCACCAAUAAGGGAGGAACCCAAAGAGCCCCUUAAUGAGCAGGUAAAGCGGGAACUGGAUAUACUGGAGAAUGCAACUGAGAAAAACAGGGAAAUAAUGCUUGAAGUAAAGAAAGUUAAAGAAAAAAUGGAGAAAACUAAAGCAAACAUACAGCAAGCAUUAAAAAGAAAUAAAAAGGACAUUUCAAAAAACAGUGAACAAAUUAACCACAUUAAACAUAUUAUGUAUGUAAAGAUCAACAUGGUCAAGCACAGAUGGGCAAGCAUUAUAAAACAGGCUGAAAUGAAGAAAAUUCACAUGUAUAAAGAAGGACAGAGAGAAAGAAACGAUGGAAAAGCCACAUUUGACACAGUGAAGAGAAAACUGUGUAGAAUCCAGGAAGAGAUGGAGAAACUUUGGGAUGUGCUGGAAGACAGUGAACAACAACUGGAAGUGACUCAAAGUGCAAAGCAGCAGCUAAUGGCAGAGAACAAUCACAUGAACAUCAAGAUGAAUAUUGAUUAUCAAAAGCAACAAGAUUCAGAUCUAAGCUUUAAAGUGACACACAUCCAGCCUGAAAGAGAUGAUUUAAAGAGAGUUGAAAUGAAACUAAAGACAGGAAGGGAAAAUGUAGAAAAAGACAAACCAAAUACUUACAUGCAGAAUUUGAUCUCUGAGGAAGAAGAAAACAAUGAAGUGCUUUGUAACAAGGGUGAAGAAACAAAGCAGAGCAUGAGGGACUUUACAGAAGUAAAGGCUCAAACGAAAUGGACAAAUUUUCGAGAAAAGCAAAAAAGAAGGGAGCUUGAGCGUUUGCUGGAGAAGAUAAGGAAAGAGAGGGAUGAGUUAGAAAUCAUGAAGACAAAAAUACAGCGACAAAAGGAAAGGGUUGAACAAAAACUGGAAAAUACUGUCACUGAGAUAAAAGGUAAAAUAGAAAAAACUGGUGCAGAAAUGAACAACACUUGGGAGAAAAUGCAGAGAACCCAAAGGGAGAUUAGUAAGAACCAGGAAGAAGCCAAGAACUAUAUGGAAAAACUGACAUCCAUGAAAACUUGGGUCAACAAAUGGAUAUUGGCACAAUCUACAAUCAAACAUACUUUUUCAGUGAACGCAUCCAAACUUCAAGAAUCACAGUAUGAAAUAGACACAGACUCCCUUGAGGAUCAAACAUCAGCAAUUCCAAAGGACAAAAAAGGGAAAAAAAGUAUAACAGAUACAACAUCAUUACAAAAUUCUGUAACAUUAGAUGAUCAGCAUCAAAAUAAAAAAAUAAAAGAACAACAGAAGGAGCAUUUUGAAUCCAAAUAUUGUUUUGCAGAAGGCAAAAAUGGGGAGCAGGACUUUUGCUUACAGAUGCGAACUGAAAUUCAUGAAGAAGUAGUGCAUGAUAAAACUGAAUUACUGAUAAUUGUAAGAGAAAGGGAAGAAGUGGAAAAACUGAUACGUAACCUAAAGCAGCAAGAGGGGGAAAUAAAGGAACAAAUAAAGUACACUAUUGAUAACAUGAACGAAAAAACUCAAGAUAUAAAAAGGCUCAUUUUGGAAAUAAAUGACCUGCAGAGGGCAGACACUGUAAUUACAGUCGGGGAAACUGAAAAUGCCCAGGAAGUAUUAACUAAGCUGUUGGAAGAAACUGAACAGAGAAAGAUUUUGAUGCUGAACACCAAAGUUUUCAAAAAUGAAAUAAUAAAAUAUGAAGUACAAGAGGGGGACGAUGCCAAAAAAAUAAAACAAGAGUCUAGCUUGAUAAGGCUUAAUGUUAACAAGCAAAAACUAAUUCAGAAAUCAGGAGAAGAGAUGAAAAAACAUGUUGAACACACCGAUGAAGAUAAAAAGGACAGAGGAGCCGAUAUACAAAGACUCAGGGCAGAGAUUUACAAAACACAAGAGAUUAUAAGAACGCUAAGAGGAGGACUUGAGAACCUAGCGGAAAAAAAUAACAUGGACAAAUAUCAACAGAAUGAAGGCAGUGAAAUUGAAGGAUUGCUAAAAGACAUCAAACAGUUUCAAGAGUUUUUGGAAAUUGUAAAAACCAAAAUAAAGCAAAGUGAAGUACAUAUGACAGAAGAAAUGAGCAAUAUAAAAUCAAUGAAAACUGCAGUGAAAAAGAAGAGAAGAGAAUUAGAUCAAAGAUUAGAAAAUACUUUGAAAGAGAGAGAUGGAUUAGACAUCUUUAAAAUAAAAAUGCAGAGGCAAACUGAACUGAUUCGGCAGAAUUUAGAAAAAAUGGCAAAAGUUAAGAGCACAGUCGAGAAAAUAGCUGCUAAGACCAGAAGGAAAAUUGAAGAGAUAGAAAUUAGUAUGAAGGAGACUGAAAUAAAACUAAGACAGUUUAAAGACCUUGACUGCAUUAACCUUAACUUGACAAAAGGCGCAAAACCAGACAUGGAACAUGGUAGUACACCUAAGCAAAGAACUGCUCUUGAAAUUUUCAAGACUGAAAUUAAGAAGACAAUGGACAAUAAAAGAGAUAAACUGACAAAAAACAAAAUGGACAAAGAAACUGAGGGAACAGAAAGCCUCAAACAAGUUAAUGAGAAACUGGAGGAGGUAAAACUUUCAUUAGACAGUCUGGGUCAAAAAAAUAAAAAAUCAGUUAGUGAGAAUGUAAAACAAAUAAUCAAGAGAGAAGAGACUGAGAUGACAGAACAGAUCCAAACAGCGAUAAAGAAUGAGAAAAUGGUUAAACAGCUAACUGAAACAGAAAUACAGGAGGAACAGGUGAACCAUUUGAGGGAGAAAACUGAAAGAAAAGAACAGGAGCUUGAUGACGGAGUACACAUGACCAAAAGGCAAAUAAGAGAAAUGGAGCUGCUGCAAUCAGAAUUGAAAAUAAAGGUAAAAGAAUUUGAGCGUUUUUUUAGAAAAAGUAUGAGAAAAAAGGAGGAAAUUGAAAUAAUGUGGUAUGAAAUACAACAAGAAAAGGAAGCAUUGAGGACCGAGAUCAAAAAGAAAAGAAGAGAAUUAGACCAAAGACUGGAGAUGACUAUGAGAAAAAGGGAUGAACUAGAAGUGUUAAGGGUAAAAUUGAAACGACAGAUGGAAGAGCUGGCUGAGGAGAAGCAGAGAGACCAUAAUCUGUUCAUCCAUCUACCCAAUGAACAUGAAAAACAUUUUGGAAGGAAAGAUGUGAAAAUGUUAAUGGAGAAAAUCAAAAACCACAGCUUAAAAGUUUCUCAGUAUACUAUUUACAUCCAAGACAUAAGAGACAAGUUUAAUUUACACAUGGGAACAAUUAGGACAGAGAUGAAAAUUCUAGAAAAUGUGAAUGCUCAUUUAGAAAAGGACAAAAAAGGAUUCAGAGAAGUUGAGGCUGAAAAUAAGAAUAUAACAAACAAAAUGAAGAGGUUAAAAUAUCAGCUUAAUAUACUCUUUGGAAGAGUUACCAUACAAGACACUGCAGAGAUGGAUGAAACAAUCAACAUCUGGGAAAAAAUCCAAAGAGAAAAACAGAAGCUUGAUAUGAGACUAGAAAAUAUUAAAAGGGAAAGACAAGAGAUAGAAGUUCUGGUGGUUGAGCUGGAGAUGAAGAAAAGAGAAAACCAACGUGUAAUCAAAAGAAGCAUUCAAAAAGAACAGAAGAUAAAAAGAAUAUGGGCUACUUUCAAAGAAGAAAGAACUGCCCUCGUGAGAGAAACAAAGCAGAAAAAGGAGGUUGAACAACGACGAGAGGAGAUCAUCAAACAUCAAGGUGAACAAGAAAUAAAGCAGAAGUUGCAAAAAGAAAAGAAAGGGAUGCAAAGUGAAAUUGAAGACAUGAGGAUGAAAGAAAAAAGGAAACAAAUUCAAAAACAAUGGGAACUAAUCAAGAAAUACUUAGGGGAAUAUAAAAAGGUAAUUAAAAACACUCAAUUCAUCAUUGGAAUAAUUCAGAAUGAAAAUAAACACAUGCAAGACCAAAAAAAUUUCUACAUGACCAAAAGGAAAGAAACACUGAAUAUUAAAAGUGAAUUAAAUAGGCAAAAGGAAAUUAUACGGUGUGCAUUAAAAAACAUACAACAAGAGCCAAAACAUGGGGAACAAGUGGAGACAAAAAUCAAGACGGAGCAAGGAAAGCAUGAAAAUGAAAGGGAAAAAAUAUAUGAGAUAGAAAAAGAUGCCUUGGAUGACUUAAGUGCAGACGAGAGUCAAGACAAAGAGGAUCUUGAAAGAGUGAAAGAGUUGUUGAAAAAGAACCAGAAACUUGACAUGAGAGGCUGUAAAAUCAAAAAAGAAAUAGACAUAUUAAAACAAAAAAAUGAAAACAUAAAAGAGGAAAGGAAAACAACUGAAAUAAAAGAAACUGAAAAAAAAAUGAAACUGAAAGAUUUCAAUAAAAUGUUUUGGGGCAAACAAAAAGAAAAACACAGUACUGAGUAUCUGACUGUAAAGAAAGAAUAUAAAAGAGAAACGACUAAGGAUGGUAUAAAAAGGGUGAUCUUACAAGACACAAAACAAGACUUGAUAAAAAAAGAGAUAAAAAAAUGUAACCAGGAAAAAGAAAAAGUCAUCCAGAUGAAAACUAGACGUGAGAAUAGAAAAGAACUGUUGUUGAAGGUAAGGAGAAACAUCAAAGAUGAAGAGAAAGAGAUGGAAAUGAGAGGAGACCAAGUCAUGGAUGAAAUGAAAUCGCUAGAGAUUCUGAAAGUGAAACUUCAACAACUGAAGGGGGAUAUAAAAGCCAAAAUGGAGAGAUUACUACAAAAUGUUGACAACAGGUCAAGGCUGCAAACAGUGUUGGAAGAAAAACUUCCAACCCAAGACGAACUGAAAGAAAGCAUUCGCUGUUUCACUGAAAUGUUAGAGAGAGAAAAGGAAGGUGUGAGAAGUAUCCUUUCAGACAUGGUCACCAAGAGAGAAUGCACAGAAAAUGAAUGGAAGCAGCAGUUUGAACUGGACAAACGAGAGCUUGAUAAAGUGAAAGAAGAUCUGAGACACGACAGAGAAGAUCUGGAGAGAGAAAGUGAGGUGCUGAAUAAAGAGAAAAUGGAUUUGAAGGUGUUGAUGUCUGACAUCAUGAAACAAUUUGAAAUAUUGGAAGAAAAGAAACAAAAUAUAAAAGAAGAACGAGACUCAAUGGAAACCAUAAAGCUUGAACUGCUCAAUAAGAUGGAACAUGUAAACAGGCUGUUACAUGAGACAAAUGACGAAAAAGCCAAGAUUAAAAAUUGUAUCCUUCAGGUUCAAAUGGAAAAAGAAAGACUUGAAGACAUUUUAAGCAAGAUUUUCUUAACACAUAAUGAAGAAAAAGUCAAGGAAUAUGGCCUCAGAAGACAAACAAAAGAAGUGGAAAUCAUGAAAAAGGAAUUACAGAGUGAAAGAGCAAAAGUGGAGAGUCUGAUGAGGAAUCUGAAGAAGAAGCAAGAAGAGCUUGAACGUGCAAAGGAAAUCAUGAGUGGAGAAAAAGAAGAGAUGAAAGAGAUGAAGACUGACAUUGCCAAAGAACGAGAACUGUUGUUGAAGGAAAGGAGAAAUAUGGAAGAAGAGCGGUCUGAGAUGGAAAUGAGAGGAGACCAAGUCAUGGAUGAAAUGAAAUUGCUAGAGAUUCUGAAAGUGAAACUUCAACAACUGAAGGAGGAUAUAAAAGCCAAAAUGGAGAGAUUACUACAAAAUGUUGACAACAGGUCAAGGCUGCAAACAGUGUUGGAAGAAAAACUUCCAACCCAAGACGAACUGAAAGAAAGCAUUCGCUGUUUCACUGAAAUGUUAGAGAGAGAAAAGGAAGGUGUGAGAAGUAUCCUUUCAGAAAUGGUCACCAAGAGAGAAAGCACAGAAAAUGAAUGGAAGCAGCAGGUUGAACUGGACAAACGAGAGCUUGAUGAAGUGAAAGAAGAUCUGAGACACGACAGAGAAGAUCUGGAGAGAGAAAGUGAGGUGCUGAAUAAAGAGAAAAUGGAUUUGAAGGUGUUGAUGUCUGACAUCAAGAAACAAUUUGAAAUAUUGGAAGAAAAGAAACAAAAUAUAAAAGAAGAACGAGACUCAAUGGAAACCAUAAAGCUUGAACUGCUCGAUAAGAUGGAACAUGUAAACAGGCUGUUACAUGAGACAAAUGACGAAAAAGCCAAGAUUAAAAAUUGUAUCCUUCAGGUUCAAACGGAAAAAGAAAGACUUGAAGACAUUUUAAGCAAGAUUUUCUUAACACAUAAUGAAGAAAAAGUCAAGGAAGAUGACCUCAGAAGACAAACAAAAGAAGUGGAAAUCAUGAAAAAGGAAUUACAGAGUGAAAGAGCAAAAGUGGAGAGUCUGAUGAGGAAUCUGAAGAAGAAGCAAGAAGAGCUUGAACGUGCAAAGGGAAUCAUGAGUGAAGAAAAAGAAGAGAUGAAAGAGAUGAAGACUGACAUUGCCAAAGAACGAGAACUGUUGUUGAAGGAAAGGAGAAAUAUGGAAGAAGAGCGGUCUGAGAUGGAAAUGAGAGGAGACCAAGUCAUGGAUGAAAUGAAAUUGCUAGAGAUUCUGAAAGUGAAACUUCAACAACUGAAGGAGGAUAUAAAAGCCAAAAUGGAGAGAUUACUACAAAAUGUUGACAACAGGUCAAGGCUGCAAACAGUGUUGGAAGAAAAACUUCCAACCCAAGACGAACUGAAAGAAAGCAUUCGCUGUUUCACUGAAAUGUUAGAGAGAGAAAAGGAAGGUGUGAGAAGUAUCCUUUCAGAAAUGGUCACCAAGAGAGAAUGCACAGAAAAUGAAUGGAAGCAGCAGUUUGAACUGGACAAACGAGAGCUUGAUAAAGUGAAAGAAGAUCUGAGACACGACAGAGAAGAUCUGGAGAGAGAAAGUGAGGUGCUGAAUAAAGAGAAAAUGGAUUUGAAGGUGUUGAUGUCUGACAUCAAGAAACAAUUUGAAAUAUUGGAAGAAAAGAAACAAAAUAUAAAAGAAGAACGAGACUCAAUGGAAACCAUAAAGCUUGAACUGCUCAAUAAGAUGGAACAUGUAAACAGGCUGUUACAUGAGACAAAUGACGAAAAAGCCAAGAUUAAAAAUUGUAUCCUUCAGGUUCAAACGGAAAAAGAAAGACUUGAAGACAUUUUAAGCAAGAUUUUCUUAACACAUAAUGAAGAAAAAGUCAAGGAAGAUGACCUCAGAAGACAAACAAAAGAAGUGGAAAUCAUGAAAAAGGAAUUACAGAGUGAAAGAGCAAAAGUGGAGAGUCUGAUGAGGAAUCUGAAGAAGAAGCAAGAAGAGCUUGAACGUGCAAAGGGAAUCAUGAGUGAAGAAAAAGAAGAGAUGAAAGAGAUGAAGACUGACAUUGCCAAAGAACGAGAACUGUUGUUGAAGGAAAGGAGAAAUAUGGAAGAAGAGCGGUCUGAGAUGGAAAUGAGAGGAGACCAAGUCAUGGAUGAAAUGAAAUUGCUAGAGAUUCUGAAAGUGAAACUUCAACAACUGAAGGAGGAUAUAAAAGCCAAAAUGGAGAGAUUACUACAAAAUGUUGACAACAGGUCAAGGCUGCAAACAGUGUUGGAAGAAAAACUUCCAACCCAAGACGAACUGAAAGAAAGCAUUCGCUGUUUCACUGAAAUGUUAGAGAGAGAAAAGGAAGGUGUGAGAAGUAUCCUUUCAGAAAUGGUCACCAAGAGAGAAUGCACAGAAAAUGAAUGGAAGCAGCAGUUUGAACUGGACAAACGAGAGCUUGAUAAAGUGAAAGAAGAUCUGAGACACGACAGAGAAGAUCUGGAGAGAGAAAGUGAGGUGCUGAAUAAAGAGAAAAUGGAUUUGAAGGUGUUGAUGUCUGACAUCAAGAAACAAUUUGAAAUAUUGGAAGAAAAGAAACAAAAUAUAAAAGAAGAACGAGACUCAAUGGAAACCAUAAAGCUUGAACUGCUCAAUAAGAUGGAACAUGUAAACAGGCUGUUACAUGAGACAAAUGACGAAAAAGCCAAGAUUAAAAAUUGUAUCCUUCAGGUUCAAACGGAAAAAGAAAGACUUGAAGACAUUUUAAGCAAGAUUUUCUUAACACAUAAUGAAGAAAAAGUCAAGGAAGAUGACCUCAGAAGUCAAACAAAAGAAGUGGAAAUCAUGAAAAAGGAAUUACAGAGUGAAAGAGCAAAAGUGGAGAGUCUGAUGAGGAAUCUGAAGAAGAAGCAAGAAGAGCUUGGGCGUGCAAAGGGAAUCAUGAGUGAAGAAAAAGAAGAGAUGAAAGAGAUGAAGACUGACAUUGCCAAAGAACGAGAACUGUUGUUGAAGGAAAGGAGAAAUAUGGAAGAAGAGCGGUCUGAGAUGGAAAUGAGAGGAGACCAAGUCAUGGAUGAAAUGAAAUUGCUAGAGAUUCUGAAAGUGAAACUUCAACAACUGAAGGAGGAUAUAAAAGCCAAAAUGGAGAGAUUACUACAAAAUGUUGACAACAGGUCAAGGCUGCAAACAGUGUUGGAAGAAAAACUUCCAACCCAAGACGAACUGAAAGAAAGCAUUCGCUGUUUCACUGAAAUGUUAGAGAGAGAAAAGGAAGGUGUGAGAAGUAUCCUUUCAGACAUGGUCACCAAGAGAGAAUGCACAGAAAAUGAAUGGAAGAAGCAGUUUGAACUGGACAAACGAGAACUUGAUAAAGUGAAAGAAGAUCUAAAACAUGACAGAGAAGAUCUGGAGAGAGAAAGUGAGGUGUUGAAUAAAGAGAAAAUGGAUUUGAAGGUGUUGAUGUCUGACAUCAAGAAACAAUUUGAAAUAUUGGAAGAAAAGAAACAAAAUAUAAAAGAAGAACGAGACUCAAUGGAAACCAUAAAGCUUGAACUGCUCAAUAAGAUGGAACAUGUAAACAGGCUGUUACAUGAGACAAAUGACGAAAAAGCCAAGAUUAAAAAUUGUAUCCUUCAGGUUCAAACGGAAAAAGAAAGACUUGAAGACAUUUUAAGCAAGAUUUUCUUAACACAUAAUGAAGAAAAAGUCAAGGAAGAUGAACUCAGAAGUCAAACAAAAGAAGUGGAAAUCAUGAAAAAGGAAUUACAGAGUGAAAGAGCAAAAGUGGAGAGUCUGAUGAGGAAUCUGAAGAAGAAGCAAGAAGAGCUUGAACGUGCAAAGGGAAUCAUGAGUGAAGAAAAAGAAGAGAUGAAAGAGAUGAAGACUGACAUUGCCAAAGAACGAGAACUGUUGUUGAAGGAAAGGAGAAAUAUGGAAGAAGAGCGGUCUGAGAUGGAAAUGAGAGGAGACCAAGUCAUGGAUGAAAUGAAAUUGCUAGAGAUUCUGAAAGUGAAACUUCAACAACUGAAGGAGGAUAUAAAAGCCAAAAUGGAGAGAUUACUACAAAAUGUUGACAACAGGUCAAGGCUGCAAACAGUGUUGGAAGAAAAACUUCCAACCCAAGACGAACUGAAAGAAAGCAUUCGCUGUUUCACUGAAAUGUUAGAGAGAGAAAAGGAAGGUGUGAGAAGUAUCCUUUCAGAAAUGGUCACCAAGAGAGAAAGCACAGAAAAUGAAUGGAAGCAGCAGUUUGAAUUGGACAAACGAGAGCUUGAUGAAGUGAAAGAAAAUCUGAGACACGACAGAGAAGAUCUGGAGAGAGAAAGUGAGGUGCUGAAUAAAGAGAAAAUGGAUUUGAAGGUGUUGAUGUCUGACAUCAAGAAACAAUUUGAAAUAUUGGAAGAAAAGAAACAAAAUAUAAAAGAAGAACGAGACUCAAUGGAAACCAUAAAGCUUGAACUGCUCAAUAAGAUGGAACAUGUAAACAGGCUGUUACAUGAGACAAAUGACGAAAAAGCCAAGAUUAAAAAUUGUAUCCUUCAGGUUCAAACGGAAAAAGAAAGACUUGAAGACAUUUUAAGCAAGAUUUUCUUAACACAUAAUGAAGAAAAAGUCAAGGAAGAUGAACUCAGAAGUCAAACAAAAGAAGUGAAAAUCAUGAAAAAGGAAUUACAGAGUGAAAGAGCAAAAGUGGAGAGUCUGAUGAGGAAUCUGAAGAAGAAGCAAGAAGAGCUUGAACGUGCAAAGGGAAUCAUGAGUGAAGAAAAAGAAGAGAUGAAAGAGAUGAAGACUGACAUUGCCAAAGAACAAGAACUGUUGUUGAAGGAAAGGAGAAAUAUGGAAGAAGAGCGGUCUGAGAUGGAAAUGAGAGGAGACCAAGUCAUGGAUGAAAUGAAAUUGCUAGAGAUUCUGAAAGUGAAACUUCAACAACUGAAGGAGGAUAUAAAAGCCAAAAUGGAGAGAUUACUACAAAAUGUUGACAACAGGUCAAGGCUGCAAACAGUGUUGAAAGAAAAACUUCCAACCCAAGAUGAACUGAAAGAAAGCAUUCGCUGUUUCACUGAAAUGUUAGAGAGAGAAAAGGAAGGUGUGAGAAGUAUCCUUUCAGACAUGGUCACCAAGAGAGAAUGCACAGAAAAUGAAUGGAAGCAGCAGUUUGAACUGGACAAACGAGAGCUUGAUGAAGUGAAAGAAGAUCUGAGACACGACAGAGAAGAUCUGGAGAGAGAAAGUGAGGAGCUGAAUAGAGAGAAAAUGGAUUUGAAGGUGUUGAUGUCUGACAUCAAGAAACAAUUUGAAAUAUUGGAAGAAAAGAAACAAAAUAUAAAAGAAGAACGAGACUCAAUGGAAAUCAUAAAGCUUGAACUGCUCAAUAAGAUGGAACAUGUAAACAGGCUGUUACAUGAGACAAAUGAAGAAAAAGCCAAGAUUAAAAAUUGUAUCCUUCAGGUUCAAAUGGAAAAAGAAAGACUUGAAGACAUUUUAAGCAAGAUUUUCUUAACACAUAAUGAAGAAAAAGUCAAGGAAGAUGACCUCAGAAGACAAACAAAAGAAGUGGAAAUCAUGAAAAAGGAAUUACAGAGUGAAAGAGCAAAAGUGGAGAGUCUGAUGAGGAAUCUGAAGAAGAAGCAAGAAGAGCUUGAACGUGCAAAGGGAAUCAUGAGUGAAGAAAAAGAAGAGAUGAAAGAGAUGAAGACUGACAUUGCCAAAGAACAAGAACUGUUGUUGAAGGAAAGGAGAAAUGUGGAAGAACAGCAGUCUGGGAUGGAAAUGAGGGGAGACCAAGUCAUGGAUGAAAUGAAAUCACUAGAGAUUCUGAAAGUGAAACUAAUUGCGAGGAAAUCCCUGAAAGGUGAACUGUCUGAUGUACAACCCAGAGAGGACAUCCUCAGUAGUGUUACAAUCUCUACAAGAAACCUUAUAGGAAAACUAAAUAGACUGAUUCAUCAAGACUUGCCGACAUAUAUUAAGAGAGUAGAGGGGGAAAAUGAAAAAAUAUUACAAGUGAUCUCCACAUAUGAACAAAAUUGGGUCAGAAUUUAUAAGCAGAAAAUUAAAAUUACUGCAGAUUAUGACAAGAUACAACAACAAAAGAAACAUGUGUUUAAGACAACAUUUGACAAAGCAAUCCAAACUGAGGAUGUUGUAAAACAAUGCUUACAUGAGCAUCAGGAUGAAGAGACCAAUGAACAUGAAUUUAAGCAGAGGAUGAAGGAUGUUGCAGUUAAUCUUGAAGGAAGCAAAAGAUACUUGACACCUGACAAGGAAGGUCUGCUGUUAGUAGGAGAAGGUGAAGAAUUUGGAAAUGUCAAGAAAACAAAUCUUGCAACGUUGUCCAUCUUGUCAGCAGAGGAAGAUGACUUCACACAGAAGGGAAUUUUAAAAACUGAGUUUUUGAAACAAAUCUGGAAGGACACUAGAAUAGAACGAAAUGAAAUAAAUCAGAUGAAGCUCAGAGGUCAAGAAAUGAGAAACAAUAUGGAUAAAAGAGUAAAGGUGAUCAAUCAUUUUGUUAGGAGAUCAAUAUUUCAGAAAGAAAAGACAUCAGUUGAGAAAACAAGAAAAAUGUUGGAACAUGGGCAAAGUAAUACGUUUUUAUCUGUAAGUGGCAGGGAUGGAGAACACAAAUCACUUGAUGAAAAAUAUACCGAGCUCCAACAACUUAAGGUCCGCAUGCUUAGUGAGAUUGAGAAAUUCUACAUACAAAACAAAGCGUCUAAGACACUGACAACUAGCAACAAAGCUAAUCAAACAGUUCAACUAGAUUCUCCAAAUAUCUAUCAAGAGCAAAUAAAGGUAGAAGAAUCUGAAGCAGCACCAGAGAGAUCUCCUGGACUCCUCAGUCAGCUCAGACUUUCCUGUUAUCGCUGUUGCUCCCGUUAUUGUGCCUACUGCAAGCAAGGAUGUAUAAAGAAAAAAUGAGAGGCAAGAAAAGUGCUACAUAAAAAUCAGUCCAUUUACCUUUUGUUUUACUUUUUAGUUAUAUUAAUAUGUGUGUAUUUGGAAAAUGUGUUUUUCCCGUUAAUCAUAUUAACCUAACAACGUAAGAGUACCAGUCUGAUGUCAAUCAUCUAAUUUUUAAACAACUAGUUAUGUAAUGUAAAAGUAUUCCUUUAACAUGUUAUUUUUUUCACAAAUGCAAAAUAUUAAAGUUUAACAGAUAAUCUUAACAUUUCUAAUUACAUUUUUAUGCUGAUUUCUAAUUAAUCUUCUUUCAACAUAUUUAUUCUGUUGUCUUGUGUUAGAAUACAGAAGCACAAAGAAUACAGUAAAAUCAAAACUAACAAGAAUAUUUGAAAACUGUGACUCCAUAUAUAUUCAUAUUUAAAUGAAAGAAAAAUGCAUGUUUAACAUAAAUUUGAUCCCUAAAUAAAUCUUUUUCCAAAACCAUUCACAUCACUGCAAUAUUUUUCUUUUGGUAAAUUUCGAAUUAUAUAAGAACCCAAUUGUUUGAAACAUUAUUUAAAUUAAUUACACAGUUAAUUGUAAAUUGACAAAUUAAAUAUAAAACUCAUGCCAUCUAAUUAUCUUCAUUGGGGUAUAUCAUGUACACAUACAUAUAUAUAUAUAUAUAUUUAUAUGUCAUAUAUAAACCCUUUGUCACGGCUGCCGAGGCGAGCCGUGUGGUGUAGAAGGGAGAAAGGACCCAAAACGCAGGCAGUAGAUGAUAAUGCUAGUGAUGUUUUAUUUACACAGUGGUGAGAUGGCAAAACAGGCAAAGAAGGAAGACAAAACUAAAGACCUACACUGGGAAAGCUAAAUGACAAACCUGAGAGGGUUCCAGAAUGGGGGAGAGGCAGUGACGAACCGGCAACAGGCAGGAGAACAUCAAAGCUGACGGGACAGGGGAAACGUAAACUGAACACACUCACAUGAGAUAGAGACCUUCAGAAUAAAACAGGAAACUCACAGACACAGAACUGGACAAGACGCUGAACUAAACAGACAGAUUCACACACAGACAGUGUGACACCAUAGACAGACAGAACACAGAAGUGGAACCAGGGAAAGCACAGAACAGAAACCUAACAAAUGGCAAUUCGUAACAGAAUAUGUAUAAAUGAACAAAAGCAUAAAGAAACAUAAAACACUGAGUCGGCAGACUCAGGACCAUGACACCCUUUGCUACGGUAGUAUAGACCUGGAAAGUGUAGACAAAAUAAACAACACUUGAUUCUGUAACUUGCCUGAUUCUUCAAUACAAUUUUUAUUGUGUUUUUAGUGAAAUGAUUUUCUAUAUAAUAUUUAGAAAAUCCUUAUUAGAAUUCAGAAUCUUUUUUCAAAAGAUUUUAGAAAGUUCUUUCAAUCUUGGGAAAGAGGACCAAUAAGACAACAGGCCUAGUUAGAUCUUUAAAUGAACCCAGCUUCAUUUGUUGAUCUAUCCAACAAGGUUAUAAUGGUUGACACCCUAUCUGAAGCCGAGAUUCUAAUAAUUAAUCCUUUAGGUCAGUGGUUCUCAAACUUUUCACAAUGAGUACCACCGUAUAAAAUAUAUGGUUCUUAAAGUACCACCCUUAUGCCCGACAUUAAAGUACAGUAGUAUAGGCCUAUUUAACACCAUAUACAGUUUACACAAGACAAUUUUAUUUCUUAUAUGGAUGUUAUUUAUUUUAACUGUCAUAAACAGGAUGCGACAAGUGAUAUAAUAACAACUGUACUGCAUUAAGACAUCAAAGCAGGUGGGAUAUCCGGUCUUUAAGUGAUGACAUAUGAACCCUGCUUCCAGGUCCAAACUACUCUGUGUUUAUUAAAGCUGUUGUGUCUUAAUGCUUUGUAUCUUUUUCUAUUUAAUCUGAACAAGCCCCUAAAAAAAGUCAGUGAUCACUGUCGACCUCUCUCAGUUUUUAUUAUCACUAUUCAUUUUAAAGCUCAGUUUUUAAAACCUUACGAUGCAAUUACAGCCCAGCCCAUGCAGCAAUACAUUAAUGACUAACCUCGUUAAAUAUUCAGGAAUUAGAAAAAAACAUCAAAUCACUAGAAGAAGCCUACGCGUCCCACCAAGAUCAGGAAACAUUGAACAAAAUACGCAAAACAAAACUAGAAUUAAAUGAGAUAAUUGAUAAAAAAACAAAAUUCUUAGUACAAAGACUACGCCUACAAAAUUAUGAACAUGGUAAUAAAUCCGGUCAAUUUCUAGCAAACCAGCUAAAAAUAAAUAAAGAAAAAACAACUAUAUGUGCUGUUCAAGAUUCAUCUGGGAACACAAUAUAUGAUCCGAUACAAAUAAACAACAUUUUCAGGGAUUUCUAUAAAACGUUGUAUUCACCACAAAUAAACCCAUCUAAAAAAGAAAUUGAUCAGUUUUUGGACAACAUAACUCUUCCAAAAUUAUUGGACACUCAAGCAAUGGCACUGGAUUCACCACUGACACCAGGUGAACUCCAAGAAGCCCUGAUAAGUAUGCCCAAUAAUAAGGCUCCAGGUCCAGACGGCUUUCCUGCAGAAUUCUACAAAGAAUUCUGGUCGAUUCUAGCACCAGUUUUCUACAGAACGUUGUUGGAAAUUAAAGAAAAGGGCAGACUUCCAUCAAAUAUGAAUUCUGCAAACAUUAAUCUCCUGCUAAAACCAGGCAAAGACCCUGUAUAUCCCUCAAGCUAUCGUCCAAUAUCCCUUAUAAACGUAGACCUUAAAAUAAUCUGCAAAGCUCUCUCAAAGAGACUGGAGAAAAUAACCCCCCUCUUAAUUCAUCCUGACCAAACUGGUUUCAUAAAAGGUAGGCACUCAUCAACAAAUACACGUAGAUUACUUAAUUUGAUAGACUACUCAUACAGUAAAAACCUAGAAACUACAAUAUUCUCUUUAGACGCAGAAAAAGCAUUCGACAGUUAACUGGAAAUUUCUAUUUGCAACUUUACACAAAUUUGGUUUUGGAUCCUCUUUCAUAAACUGGUUAAAAAUAUUAUAUAAUUCCCCAACAGCUUGUGUUAGAACAAAUGACCAGACAUCCUCCAGCUUCUGUCUCUUGAGGGGCACCAGGCAGGGAUGCCCACUCUCCCCUUCACUGUUUGCAAUUUUUAUUGAACCACUAGCAGCAGCAAUUAGA
ensembl:lncRNA